rnacentral:lncRNA from 10 species
ACAGUCCAUGCUUACCUUGCUCCAUCCUGAAGGAAUGGUCCACACUUACCUGACUCCACUCUGAAGGAAUGGUCCAUGCUUACCUGGGCCCAUCCUGAAGAAACAGUCCAUUCUUACCUGGCUGUAUUCUGAAGGAAUGGUCCACACUUACCUGGCUCUAUCCUGAAGGAAUGGUCCAUGGUUACCUGGGCCCAUCAUGAAGAAACAGUCCAUGCUUACCUGGCUGUAUUCUGAAGGAAUGGUCCACACUUACCUGACUUCAUCCUGAAGGAAUGGUCCAUGCUUACCUGAGCCCAUCCUGAAGGAAUGGUCCACACUUACCUGACUCCAUCCUGAAGGAAUGGUCCAUGCUUAACUGGGCCCAUCCUGAAGAAACAGUGCAUGCUUACCUGGCUGCAUUGUGAAGGAAUGGUCCCUGCUUACCUGAUUCCAUCCUGAAGGAAUGGUCCACACUUACGUGACUCCAUCUUGAAGGAUUGGUCCAUGCUUACCUGGGCCCAUCUUGAGGAAACAGUCCAUGCUUACCUGGCUGUAUUCUGAAGAAUUGGUCCACACUUACCUGGCUCCAUCCUGCAGGACUGGUCCAUGCUUACCUGGGCCCAUCCUGAAGAAACAGUCCAUGCUUACCUGGCUGUAUUCUGAAGGAAUGGUCAACACUUACCUGGCUCCAUCCUGAAGGAAUGGUCCAUGCUUACCUGGGCCCAUCCUGAAGAAACAGUCCAUGCUUAACUGGCUGUAUUCUGAAGGAAUGGUCAGUGAUUACCUGGCUCCAUCCUCAAGGAAUAGUCCAUGCUUACCUGGGCCCAUCCUGAAGAAGCAGUCAAUGCUUACCUUGCUGCAUCCUGAUGGAGUGGUCCACACUUACCUGACUCCAUCCUGAAGGAAUGGUCCAUGCUUAACUGGGCCCGUCCUGAAGAAACAGUCCAUGCUUACCUUGUUGCAUUCUGAAGGAAUGGUCCAUACUUACCUGACUCCAUCCUGAAGGAAUGGUCCAUGCUUACCUGGGCCCAUCCUGAAGAAACAGUCCAUGCUUACGUGGCUGUAUUAUGAAGAAAUGGUCCACACUUACCUGGCUCCAUCCUGAAGGAAGGGUCCACACUUCCCUGAAUCCACCCUGAAGGAAUGGUCCAUGCUGACCUGGGCUCAUCCUGAAGAAACAGUCCAUGCUUACCUGGCUGUAUUCUGAAGGAAUGGUCCCUGCUUACCUGAUUCCAUCUUGAAGGAAUGGUCCACACUUACGUGACUCCAUCCUGAAGGAAUGGUCCAUGCUUACCUGGGCCCAUCUUGAGGCAACAGUCCAUGCUUACCUGGCUGUAUUCUGAAGAAAUGGUCCACACUUACCUGGCUCCAUCCUGCAGGACUGGUCCAUGCUUACCUGGGCCCAUCCUGAAGAAACAGUCCAUGCUUACCUGGCUGUAUUCUGAAGGAAUGGUCCACACUUACCUGGCUCCAUCCUGAAGGAAUGGUCCAUGCUUACCUGGGCCCAUCCUGAAGAAACAGUCCAUGCUUACCUUGCUCCAUCCUGAAGGAUUGGUCCCUGCUUACCUGAUUCCAUCCUGAAGGAAUGGCCCACACUUAUGUGACUCCAUCCUGAAGGAAUGGUCCAUGCUUACCUGGGCCCAUCCUGAAGAAACAGUCCAUGCUUACCUGGCUGUAUUCUGAAGGAAUGGUCCACAAUUACGUGACUCCAUCCUGAAGGAAUGGUCCAUGCUUACCUGGGCCCAUCCUGAAGAAACACUCCAUGCUUACCUGCCUGUAUUCUGAAGAAAUGGUCCACACUUACCUGGCUGCAUCCUGAAGGAAUGGUCCAUGCUUACCUGGGCCCAUCGUGAAGAAACAGUCCAUGGUUACCUGGCUGUAUUCUGAAGGAAUGGUGCACGCUUACCUGGCUCCAUCCUGAAGGGAUGGUCCAUGCUUACCUGGGCCCAUCCUGAAGAAACUGUCCAUGCUUACCUUGCUCCAUCCUGAAGGAAUGGUCCACACUUACCUGACUCCACUCUGAAGGAAUGGUCCAUGCUUACCUGGGCCCAUCCUGAAGAUACAGUCCAUGCUUACCUGGCCGUGUUCUGAAGGAAUGUUCCACACUUACCUGGCUCUAUCCUGAAGGAAUGGUCCAUGGUUACCUGGGCCAAUCCUGAAGAAAGAGUCCAUGCAUACCUGGCUGUAUUCUGAAGGAAUGGUCCACACUUACCUGGCUCCAUCCUGAAGGAAUGGUCCAUUCUUACCUGGGCCCAUCCUGAAGAUACAGUCCAUGCUUACCUGGCCGUAUUCUGAAGGAAUGUUCCACACUUACCUGGCUCUAUCCUGAAGGAAUGGUCCAUGGUUACCUGGGCCCAUCCUGAAGAAAGAGUCCAUGCAUACCUGGCUGUAUUCUGAAGGAAUGGUCCACACUUACCUGGCUCCAUCCUGAAGGAAUGGUCCAUUCUUACCUGGGCCCAUCCUGAAGAAACAGUUCAUGCUUACCUGGCUGUAUUCUGAAGGAAUGGUCCUUGCUUACCUGAUUCCAUCCUGAAGGAAUGGUCCACACUUACGUGACUGCAUCCUGAAGGAAUGGUCCAUGCUUACCUGGUCCCAUCCUGAAGAAACAGUCCAUGCUUACCUCGCUGUAUUCUGAAGGAAUGGUCCACACUUACCUGGCUCCAUCCUGAAGGAAUGGUCCAUGCUUACCUGGGCCCAUCCUGAAGAAACAGUACAUGCUUACCUGCCUGUAUUUUGAAGGCAUGAUCCUCACUUUCCUGUCUCCAUCCUGAAGAAAUGGUCCAUGUUUACCUGGGCCCAUCCUGAAGAAACAGUCCAUGCUUACCUGACUGUAUUCUGAAGGAAUGGUCCACACUUACCUGGCUCCAUCCUGAAGGAAUGGUCCAUGCUUACCUGGGCCCAUCCUGAAGGAACAGUCCAUGCUUACCUGGCUGUAUUCUGAAGCAAUGGUCACUGAUUACCUGGCUCCAUCCUCAAGGAAUAGUCCAUGCUUACCUGGGCCCAUCCUGAAGAAGCAGUCCAUGCUUACCUUGCUGCAUCCUGAUGGAGUGGUCCACACUUACCUGACUGCAUCCUGAAGGAAUGGUCCAUGCUUACCUGGUCCCAUCCUGAAGAAACAGUCCAUGCUUACCUUGCUGCAUUCUGAAGGAAUGGUCCAUACUUACCUGACUCCAUCCUGAAGGAAUGGUCCAUGCUUACCUGGGCCCAUCCUGAAGAAACAGUCCAUGCUUACCUGGCCGUAUUCUGAAGAAAUGUUCCACACUUACCUGGCUCCAUCCUGAAGGAAUGGUCCACACUGACCUGACUCCACUCUGAAGGAAUGGUCCAUGCUUACCUGGGCCCAUCCUGAAGAAACAGUCCAUGCUUACCUGGCUGUAUUCUGAAGGAAUGGUCCACACUUACCUGGCUCUAUCCUGAAGGAAUGGUCUAUGCUUACCUGGGCCCAUCCUGAAGAAACAGUCCAUGCUUACCUUGCUCCAUCCUGAAGGAAUGGUCCACACUUAUCUGACUCCAUCCUGAAGGAAUGGUCCAUGUUUACCUGGGCCCAUCCUGAAGAAACAGUCCAUGCUUACUUGGCUGUAUUCUGAAGGAAUGGUCCACACUUACCUGGCUCCAUCCUGAAGUAAUGGUCCACACUUACCUGACUCCAUCCUGAUGGAAUGGUCCAUGCUUACCUGGGCCCAUCCUGAAGAAACAGUCCAUGCUUACCUGGCUGUAGUCUGAAGGAAUGGUCCACACUUAACUGGCUCCAUCCUGAAGGAAUGGUCCAUGCUUACCUGGGCCCAUCCUGAGGAAACACUCCUUGCUUACCUGGCUGUAUUCUGAAGGAAUGGUCCCUGAUUACCUGGCUGCAUCCUGAGGGAAUGACCCACACUUAACUCACUGAAUCUUGAAGGAAUGGUCAGUGCUUACCUGGCUCCAUUUUGAGGGAAUGAUCCAUGCCUACAUGGCUGCAUCCUGACGGAAUGAUCCAUGCUACCCUGGCAGCAUCCUAAAGAAAUGGUUCAUACUUACCUACCUGCAUGCUGAAGAAUGGUCCCUGCUUACCUGGCUGCAUCCUGAUCAAAUGGUCUACACUUACCUUGCUCCAUUCUGAAGGAAUGUUCCACGCUUACCUGGCCGCAUCCUGAAGGAUUGAUCCAUGCUUACCUGGCUGCAUCCUGAAGGAAUGAUCCACACUUACCUGGCUGUAUCCUGAACGAGUGGUCCUUGGUUACCUGGCUGCAUUCUGAGAAAAUGGUCCAAACUUACCUGGCUUUAUCCUAAGGGAAUGGUCCAUGCUUAGCUGGCUCCAUCCAGAAGAAAUGAUCCAUUCAGAAGAAAGGUUCAUGCUUACCUGGCUGCAUCCUGAAGAAAUGGUCCACAGUUACCUGGCUGCACCCUAACGCAAAGGUCUGUGCUUACUUGGCUGCAUCCUGAAGAAAUGUUUCACGCUUACCUGGCUCCAUCCUGAAGAAAUGGUCCACAGUUUCCUGGCUGCACCCUAAAGGAAAGGUCUGUGCUUACCUGGCUGCAUCCUGAAGGAAUUGUCCAUGCUUACUUGGCUCCAUCCUGAGGGAAUGGUCUAUGCAUACCUGGCUCCAUCCUGAAGUAAUAAUGGCCCUCGCUUCCCUGGCUUUACACUGAAGGAAUUGUCCACACUUCCCUGGCUGCAUCCUGAAGAAAUGAUUCACAUUUAUCCGGCUCCAUCCUGAAGAAAUGAUCCAUGUUUACCUAGCUGCAUCCUGAAGGAAUGUUUCAUACUUACCUGGCUGCAUCCUGAAGGAAUGCUUCCUGCUUACCUGGCUACACCGUGGAGGAAUGGUUCAUACUUACCAGCCUCUAUCCUGAAGGAAUUGUCCACGCUUACCUGGCUGCAUCCUGAAGGAGUGGUCCAUGCUUACCUGGAGGCUUCAUCUGGGAAAACAACCUGUUCCAUCCUCUGGCCAUUUCCAUCUUGGAUUCCUCUGAGCUAAUGACCCAGGUGUUAAUUUUUUUUGUUGUUUAUAGGAUUAUGAUCACGAAAGACAAGGUUUCUGUUCUCCUGGUACUUAGAUUCUAAUGAGGGAUCACAAUCUGUGUUCACUGGGUUUCUCCAGAGAAACAGAAACAAUGGGAUACCAGUUCUUUGUUUUCUUUCUUUCCUCCCUUUUUUUUCUUCCUCCUUUUUCCAUCUAUCUAUCUAUUUAUCGUCUAUCUUCUAUCAUUCUUUCUUUUCUGCUUCCUUGUUUCAUACAUCUAUCUAUCUAGAGAGAGAGAAAGAGAAAAGACAAGAGAAAGAGAUUUUAUUAUAAGGCAUUGGCUCCUGCAGUUAUGGAGGCUGACAAGUUCCGUGAUCUGCAGGGUGAGUUGGCGAGUGGAGACCUCCGAGAGCUGAUGGUGUAGCUCCAGUCCAAAGGCCAGCAGGCUGGAGACCCAGGAAGAGAUGUUCCAGUUAGAGUCUGAAGGCAGCAGAAAGCUAAUGUCCCAGCUUGAAGGCAGCUGGGCAGGAAGAGCCAGCAUUCCAGGUGGGGGCCAUCAGCCAGCAGAGUCCCCCGUUUCUCAGAGGAGGGACGGCCCUUUCAUUCUAUUCCAGGUUUCUCGUGGGUGGAUGAGGCCCACCCCCAUUAGGGAGGGCAGUCUGCUUUACUCAGUCUGACAAUUAAAAUAUUAAUCUCAACCAGAAACACCCCCCAGACACACCCAGAAUGUCUGACCAAAUAUCUGGACACCCUGUGUCCUCAUCAAGUUGACACGUAAAAUUCACCAUCACGUCACCCGUUGUCACCUUGGCACUGAUGGGUUUCCUUAAAACCACACUUUAUCCUCAAAUAAAGAAGAUACCAAGGUCACCAUUCCACCUAACGUGAUACAGCUAAUCCCACAUACAACUGAAAACACACAAUCUCUUCCCCAGAAAAGGAAAUAAAGGCCUUGAGUGAGGUUUACUCUUCUUCUGAUAUUUUCAACUUAGAUUCUAUGAUGUAAAAUUCACAAUUCUUGAAUACAAUCUUAUAACCUAAAUACAUCUUAUGUUACAUAACAGGAUAAGAGAGGGAAGAAAACAAAGAUAUUUGCUAUAUAAUACGCACACACAUUCAUAACAAAAUUAGGAGGAAAUUCUUCUGACUACUGCAGGCCUCACCUCAGUAAUUAGUCACCUGGAGACAAAUGUGGAAGAUAAUUUGAAGUCGUGAUAGGAGCUGUGAAGACACACAGCCAGGCCAUACUCACCCAGCAGGGCUGGGCCUCAGGGUGCCCCACAGGUGUCCCCUCAAAGCGUAGAAACCGGACUUUUGCCCACCAACUGCCUUCCAUAGGGCCGGUAUCUCCCCUGCAGGCCCAGCCUCUCAGGCUGCUUCAGAUGUGGGCUGUGCUCAUUCUUCUGGCUUGAGAAAAUGUCUGGAGGAAAAGUAGUGACUACGAGGUGCACACGUGAGGUGGGAUUGUGGCAGCAUUCAUGGCCAUCGUCUCAGCUCUGCAGGCGGAAUUCGAGGUGGGAUGAGGAGAUAAUCUGUGUAUGGGGCAAAAGAGAUGCUUCCAUCCUCAUCUCCUGGCAACAGCCAGAUUCCAUUUUUCUCCCCAUUGUACAGGAGGGGCACAGAAGUUCCGUAACUUGCCAGAGGUCACAAAGAUCACAAUUUGUAGAGGAAGGGUUUGACCCCAGGCAGCCAGCGAAGGAUGUAUGUGGGGAACUUGACUAAGUCAU